rnacentral:rRNA from 1 species
AGUGAACGCUGGCGGUAGGCCUAACACAUGCAAGUCGAACGGCAGCACAGUAAGAGCUUGCUCUUACGGGUGGCGAGUGGCGGACGGGUGCGGAAUACAUCGGAAUCUACUUUUUCGUGGGGGAUAACGUAGGGGAACUUACGCUAAUACCGCAUACGACCUACGGGUGAAAGCAGGGGAUCUUCGUACCUUGCGCGAUUGAAUGAGCCGAUGUCGGAUUAGCUAGUUGGCGGGGUAAAGGCCCACCAAGGCGACGAUCCGUAGCUGGUCUAAGAGGAUGAUCAGCCACACUGGAACGGAGACACGGUCCAGACUUCUAAGGGAGGCAGCAGUGGGGAAGAUUGGACAAUGGGCGCAAGCCUGAUCCAGCCAUACCGCGUGGGUGAAGAAGGCCUUCGGGUUGGAAAGCCCUUUUGUUGGGAAAGAAAAGCAGCAGGUUAAUACCCCGCUGUUCUGACGGUACCCAAAGAAUAAGCACCGGCUAACUUCGUG